rnacentral:rRNA from 1 species
AUGCUCCACCGAUGCCGCGCCCUCUCCCAGCUCCUCUCGGCCCCAUCUGCCUCUCCCAUCUCCCAGCUCCUCGGCUACCACAGUCGGCUCCUCUCAGCGGCCGCGCCCGUCGGUCCCCCAAACCCUAGCUUCGCCGUCGAGGACUACCUCGUCUCCACCUGCGGCCUCACCCGACCCCAGGCCCUCAAGGCCUCCCCCAAGCUCUCCCACCUCAAGUCCCCCUCCAAGCCCGACGCCGUCCUCGCCUUCCUCGCCGGCCUCGGCCUCUCCGGCGCCGACGUGGCCGCCGUCGUCGCCAGGGACCCCCGGUUCCUUUGCGCCGGCGUGGGGACAAUACUGGCCCCCAACCUCGCCGCGCUCACCGGCAUCGGUCUCUCGCGCUCUGACAUCGCGCGCCUCGUCUUGGUCGCCGGCAACCAGUUCCGCCGUAGAUCCAUCGUCACCAAUCUACACUACUGCCUGUGCAUCUUCGGGUCCUACGAGAAUCUCCUCACUGCUAUCAAGCGCAAAUCCUACAUUCUCAUGUCCGACCUCGAGAGGGUGGUCAAGCCCAACGUUGCGCUCCUGCGAGAGUUCGGGCUUGGUCCUUGUGAUAUUGCCAAGCUGUGCGUCGCCCACCCAUGGCUGCUCACCUGCAACGUAGAGCGUAUCCGGGCGACGGUGUUGCGUGUCGAUGUUCUGGGUAUACCCCGAUGGUCUGGGAUGUUUUGGCAUGCGAUGGGUGCUGUUGCAUUCGUCAGCGAGGAGAAAAUCGCUGCCGCAGUGGAGCACUUGAAGAAAAUGUUCAGGUGGUCAGAUGCUGAGGUGGGUAUUGCUAUUUCCAAGGCUCCAAAUGUGCUGAAUAAGACUAAGGAGUCUCUGCAGAGAAGCCUGGAGGGCCGGCUAAGGCCCCGGAGCUAUGUCGUGAAGUUUCUUAAGGCAAAUGGAUUGCUAGAUCCCGGCCGGGACUUGUAUACCGCAGUCACACUGAGUGAGAAGGUAUUCAUGGAGAAGUUCAUAUGCCCUCACAAGGAAGCUGCACCCCACCUUGCUGAAGAUUAUGCAGCAGCUUGCAGAGGGGAAUUGACGGCUAGAUUCAGAUUAAAUGAAGCAGGGAUGGGCCAUGGAAAUUGGUAA